rnacentral:lncRNA from 1 species
GGUACUCCCUUCUGAGAGUAACUAUCACGAGUUACUCUCGAGAGCGUCUGACAUAUCUAUCCGUUUGAAAGCGAGUCAAGCCUAUUGCGUCUGUAAAGAAGAUAACUGGCGGGGUGAUUCACGGAAGACGAUGUACAAAUCAUCGCGUGGUGAAUCGUGUAUCGCGAGCAUCCCCCUUAAAGUAUUACGUAAGAAAAAUUUAACGACGUGCAAGUGCACAGGGUGGCAUUAACGCAUCAAGUCGUACGAGGUUCGUUAAAUAUGAAUCGCUAAAUACGAUUUGUCUCGCAUAAAUGCACGGGGAUUUAACUUGCCAGGAGAUUUUGAGGGAAUUUAAACGUAUAAAAAAGGGGACAGUAAAUUUCCUCCUUAUAUACUGUUUAUUCACUGACACACUUUUGGAGUCCCGCAAGCUUCCCCUAAAUUCGACUAUGCAUACAUCUCCCAUUCAAUAUAAAUACAGACUAAGAAUCAAAUAAAGUGUUGAAACGUUGGGGAAAAUAACAAUACAUGUUGCAUUCCUUUUCACUCUGUUCCGAGAUGUCAGAGAUCUGUGUAAAAAAUUUUUUUACAUCUUCUUUACGAUUUCUUGAAAUGUUCUCAAGUAUGUUUUAAAAACUUAUUUAUAUUCAUUGCGUGAUGCAUUUUGUAAAAAUUCUGACGUAAAAUUCUUGUUUUUUUUUUUAUUCGAUAAAAAAAGCAAUAUUUUAAUAACUUUCGAGAUAAUUAUGUACGAAAAAUUUGAGAAAACAUUUUCAACAAAAUAUUUCAGAAAUUAUAUGAAAGAGAAUAAGUUCAAAGAAAAAUUGCCUACAAGAAGAUAAUUAAUGGCAAAAUCAACACUUUGAAAUACUCAGUUUUCAAGGUUAAAUAAAGAUGAUUGCCAUUUUUUAUAUAAAUUAUAAAAUUUUUUUAUAUGAUGUGAUUUAUAUAUCUAGUUAUUCUACAUAUAAAGGUACUAAAGUAGAAUGAUCAAAAAAUCAAUAAUUUACGAGAUAUUUAUUAUUAUAUUCCGAAAUAUUUUGAUAUAAAGUAUAAAACAGCUUACAAAAUAUUAACUUUUUUUAUAAUUGUACUUUAAUAUAGCACAAAGUAAUGAUAUGAAUCAAUUGGUAUAAAAAAAUCAUACAGUUGUUUGUCAACUACAUCACAUUAGUGUAGAAAGCCUACAUUAAUUGCAAGUGCCACGUAUCAAAGUUCUUCAGAUAAAGGUAAAAAGUAGUAAUAGUUCUAGAAAGAGAAAAGAAGAAGAGGAGGGAGAGAGAGAGAGAGAGAGAGAGAGAGAGAGAGAGAGAGAGAGAGAGAGCGAGAGACAGACAGAGCGCAUCUUUAGUUUCAUAAUUCUUGUUAUAUUUUUGAAGCAAAAAAUUACAAAAAAGUUUUCUUUUCAAUAACUGUUCGAAUCCUUUCUUUCAUAUUAAAAAAAACCGGUAAAAUUCAUAAAACGAGAAAUCGCGUUUUGCAACUUACGAGAAAAAUAGUGUAUGCUAUGACUAUUGAUGAAUGGCGCGUUUUAAAGUAAUGAUGCAAUAGUUAACCUGGGGUUACAACAAGUAUCUCCGUAUGCUGUACUAUAUUCCCAUUCUACUAAUUCUUUUUUGAAUGCGCCCUGUUUUUGUUAAGCAGAAUAGAAAGAAUUCGGGGUAAAAAUGCGCUUUUACUUUUACUGUUAAUCCUUAUUUUUUUUCCUUUUAUUUUCGUUCUUUCAUCUUGUAUUAUCUUUAAAAAGGUUACAUCUAUAAAAUUCACCCAUAUAUUAUAUAAGUACUCUUUAAUGGUUUUCCCUUGAUAAUCUUUAUGCACUAGGACACAUCACACAAUAACAGAAUUCAAUAGUCGAGUUACCGUAACUCGACGAUUAGAUACGCGAAAUAUAUAACGAACUUCUUGUAUGAAUCCCGUAAGUUUCAAAAUUUUAAGAGCCCCGACUUUUCUUCUAAUAGAUUUAUUAGGAUACUUAAAUUGUCAGAUUUAUUAAAUUGUUGGGAUGCUUCCAAUCUUUUUUUAUUGUAAUCGGUUGAUAAUAUAAUAAUACAAAAUUAAAUUUAUCAAACAAUAAAAACGAUCAUACAUGGAUAAAAUUGAAUAAGAUUAUUAUACUAUUUUUCUUUUUAUCUCACCAACUAUAAUGUGGUCAUUAAUUAUUGCGGCUUUUAAUUAGAUUCAAUUAGAUGAGAGAGAGAGAGAGAGAGAGAGAGAGAGAGAGAGAGAGAGAGAGAGAGAGAGACAUGACUGCCAAUGAUGCGUUUAGACCAAGAUAGAUGGAUUUGGGUCACGUGUACGGACCGUUGCGAAUGAAACGUCUUUAGCACGACAAUGUUUAGCAGCUGUAACAGAUUUGCGAAUACGGUAUUGUUUAUCUCAUUAGGAACACGUUGACUGCGCGAAGAAGCGCUAUUACCAGCGUGAGACAAUAAACGCGUACAGAGCAACUUAUGUAUCGCUCCGAUUGCUUCUCCCUCUAACGUUUCAUCCCGUCAACCCUGCGUAUUUUAUUCGUCUAACUUAAAUGGUUUUUUAGAGGGAUGAAAAAAAUCUCUAAUUCGGUAUAAGGUUGAUUAAUUAAUGGGCGUUAAUAAUUUUGUGAGAAAAUCGAGAAAAAGUAUUUUUAUUUCUUAUACUCGCACAAAAUUGAAUAAUUUUACAAAUGCAGAAUAUCAAUCGUAGCGUAUUAAAAUUUAUGUUUUCUAACUUAAUAAUUUCGUUUUUUUUUCCAUAUUUGUUUACUUGAUCUUCUCUGAAUGAUUUUUAUAAUGAUGAGAAUCUGUUUUCUACAAAUUUGAAUAAUCACCCAAAAUAUCGCCAAUUAAAGCUGAACACCAGCGCUAUACAUCUUUCUCUUUGUGAUCUCUCGAAAAAGUGACACAUUCAGGAAAACAGUCCACUCAUGCAGGCUCACAAUGCCAGGCAACAAUGUCAGGCAAUAAAUUCUACUGUCGCCUGUGAUUCCGAACCACAAGGCUUCUGUUUCUGCCUGAAAAGAAAAUUUGCUAUUUUCUGUCUUUCUCCCUUUCUUUAUGCGAAAUCGGAAAAGGACCAACUCUUUUCUUUUUGUCUGAAAAUGAAAAAUGAUCCCUUACCUGUAAUGCUUUCCUUCUAUGCAUUUUUUUCUACCAGUCAGUAACUGUUCGAAUUUGCCGGAAAGGGAAAAAAGAGCGAAAAAGAGACAGAGAGACAGAAUAAGUGAAUGAAUAAGAUAGAAAGGUUGAGAAACGGCAACGAAGGGUCACAAAAAUAUGCGGCGAUACGGUAGCACCUCAUCCGCUGACGAGAGAGACGCCAGAUUUUUCCAACGAGUAGGUACGAUAGAAUGGAUGUGGGUAUAAUGGAGGCGAGCACCGUGCCUGCGAUGCCUUCGAUGCGUGAUAAAAACUGCCGAUAGCGUGGACGAGAGGAGAGAAAGGCGGAUGGUAGGACGGAUGAAAAAAAAAA